rnacentral:RNase_P_RNA from 1 species
UCAGUUAGCCAGAUGGUUACGGGUUUGCCGUAAGGGCAGGUCCGAGGAAAGUCCGAGCAUCAAGAGAACAGGGUGCCGGUUAACUGCCGGUGAGGGUGACCUUAAGGAAAGUGCAACAGAAAUAAACCGCCACAGAUAUUAUGGCUUUAUGCCACUUGCAAAACUUGUUUUUGCCUGAAUUUGUGGUAAGGGUGGAAAGGUGGGGUAAGAGCCCACCGAUGGGGUGGUAACAUCUCAUGCCAUGUAAACCCCACCUGAUGCAAGGCUAAGUGAUAACGAUAAGCGUUCUCUCUGUUAUCCAAAAACGCCGCUUGAGCGAUUUAGAGAUAUCUCGCCUAGAUAGAUGACCAUCAAAUACAGAACUCGGCUUAUAGACUAACUGACCAU